UGAACACAAGAUUACAUUGGAAAUAUGCACCUGCACAAAAUAAAUAAUGUAGCAAAGGCUGCUGCAGUAUCUACACGCAUCGACCUAAUAUGUACAAACGUUUAUUGGCACCAAGGACUGUAUACCAUUCACAAGACUCAAAUUUUGAUCAAAGAUUAAAAAAAUGAAAACUGGAAAGCAAGAUUUGUGCUAACUGAACAAUUUUACAUAUAUCUAAAGAAAAUUCUACGACUGCGCACAAUAUUGCAUCGGGCAGCAAUUUCCUAAGGAGAACAUCUGUCUUCAAGAUAUGAUGGUUCUUUUGUUCACGAUCCUCCUUACAGAGAACCAUCUGAGAACACUAAAUAGCAUCUUCCAUCUCCUUUGAGCUUUAUCCAGAGGAACAAUUGAACUGCUAUGAGCAAGAAAGCUGUUGACAGCACAUUGUAGAUCCGGUGAUGGAGCAAAGCUUGAACUGGGAAGGGAAUAGUCGGUAUCAAAGAAAGGCAGAUGAUCAUCAUCACAAAAUGAUGGGGGAGUUAUAGAAUCAGUAUCAGCCAUCAAGGAGUUAGUGUCUUGCCCAGGGAAAUUUAAUGGUUGGUCAAACGUAACAUCCAUGCUGUCUAUACCAUGCAAGACAUAGUCAUCCAAGCUGCUGAAACCGGCAAUUGAACAGAAAGAUGGCAUGAUAUCAGGCGUUGACGCACUUAGUGACUGAUAUUCACUUCUGCUAACCUUCUGGGAAGCUAAAACAUCAUCACUGGUACCCACCAUGGGUGAGUUUGAGGGGAACUGAACAGUGGAAAUUUGCAUAACCCAAUCCAUAAGAGACGACUCAUCCUCAAAAGAGACUACUUCUUCCCAGUGUCUGAAGGCACAAAUCACCAAAUUACGAGCAUCAUCCUUUUGAGUUUCGGACAAUUUAUCAGCAGAAACAAACUGGCAGUCUGGAAAAAGCCCCAUCACUUGUCCAACAAUGUUAAAAACAACACCGGUUUUUGGACCAGAUACAGAUGUGUAGUAUAAGUACACUUUCUUGUCAAGUAAGCAAGUUCGAGCAUGUUCCACUGUGACUUCCCACAUUUUGGUAGACAUACCCGUCCCAAGAACAUUCCGGAGCCUUGUAGGAUCUAGAUAGAGUAGAGUCAGAAAAUCUUUCACAGUAUUGACUCUUUCCUUGCUCAACCGUCGGUGGAAAGCUCCAUCUUUGCCAAUCUUUUCCAGCCUCCAUACCUCAUCUGAAAGAGACGGGGGAUGGUGCUUCUUGUACAACUCUCCUCGGUGAUCCCUGACAAUG
rnacentral:misc_RNA from 1 species